rnacentral:lncRNA from 1 species
CAGAUGUGACUCUAAACCAUGUUCUUUCCUCCACACCCAACUCUGUCUGACUGCUAUAGUGCUAUCCACCAUUAGCUCACGUUCAUGAAAGUCCGGCAAGUCUGCAGCUGAAUAAAAGGCAAACUACACUUGCUGCAGCUUCAGUUUGAGAGCAAGUGGUUUAAGUGUGCAAAACAAGCUCAAUAUACAGAGGAACAAUCACAACACUCAAAAUCAGCAAAAAUUUCAUCUUCCUCUCCACUCUUUUGGCUUCAUCCUUGGGAAGCUACACAAGGAUCCAUUUGCUAACUAACCAGAUGGAGUCAAGUUCUCAAGAAAGACUAAACUUCACCACACCUUGUUUCAGGUCACAAAUGUCUCUGCUGGUAUUUUCUACUGCUGUCAAAUUACUAUAUUACCAAGGCUAAUUUUAUCUAUCUCUGUUGCUGCUACUGCUAAGUCAUUUCAGUCGUGUCCGACUCUGUGUGACCCCAUAGACGGCAGCCACCAGGCUCCCCCGUCCCUGGGAUUCUCCAGGUAAGAACACUGGAGUGGGUUGCCAUUUCCUCCUCCAAUGCAUGAAAGUGAAAAGUGAAAGUGAAAAGUGAAAGUGAAGUCGCUCAGUCGUGUCCGACUCCUAACGACCCCAUGGACUGCAGCCUACCAGGCUCCUCCAUCCAUGGGAUUUUCCAGGCAUCAAUUAACAAGUUUAGAUGACUGUAAAAACUCAGAAAACAUGUAAAAAUUCAGAAAACAAGACUGGCAUAGGAAACUGUAAUAGCUCUUAAGUUGUCUUUAUUGUCCGUCAUUGCAAAUAUAACUGAAUUUAAAUGAACUAAGGUUUUGUUCUCACCCAGCAGCUCAGGCCUUGUUCUCCAGCACUGAAAAAACUCCUGCAUAAUUUUCAAUAUUUCCAACAGGAGUUUAACCUGUUCUUUCCCUUCUGUAGCAGCUUUUAAAAACAUAAGUACUUAUAUUUUUAAAUACGUAUUUUUACUAUUAACAAUAUCAAAAUUUUUGACAGUGUAUAAAUCUAAUUAACAAAAAUAUGUAAUUUUAUCAAUAUGUAAAUCCGACCCAUUGUUUGAGAUCCUAUCCAUCAACACAAAUGAUUACCAUGUCACACCCUGUAAUAGAUCACUAGCUGAAUAUAGGAUAGAGAAGGAAUACCAGUAUAAAAAUGUAAGUUUACAAGGAACAUAGGCAUAUCUCUGCAGAUUUAUUUCAAAAUUAUUUCUCCCUGGACUUCCCUGGUGGUCCAGUGGUUAAGAAUCCACCUGCCAAUGCAGGGGACAUGGGU